rnacentral:rRNA from 1 species
GACGAACGCUGGCGGCGUGCCUAAUACAUGCAAGUAGAACGCACAGUUUAUACCGUAGCUUGCUACACCAUAAACUGUGAGUUGCGAACGGGUGAGUAACGCGUAGGUAACCUGCCUGGUAGCGGGGGAUAACUAUUGGAAACGAUAGCUAAUACCGCAUAAUAUUGAUUAUUGCAUGAUAAUUGAUUGAAAGAUGCUAUUGCAUCACUACCAGAUGGACCUGCGUUGUAUUAGCUAGUAGGUGAGGUAACGGCUCACCUAGGCGACGAUACAUAGACGACCUGGGAGGGGGAUCGGCCACACUGGGACUGAGACACGGCCCAGACCCCUACGGGAGGCAGCAGUAGGGAAUCUUCGGCAAUGGACGAAAGUCUGACCGAGCAACGCCGCGUGAGUGAAGAAGGUUUUCGGAUCGUAAAGCUCUUUUGUAAGAGAAGAACGGGUGUGAGAGUGGAAAGUUCACACUGUGACGGUAUCUUACCAGAAAGGGACGGCUAACUACGUG